rnacentral:rRNA from 1 species
GCUCCUGCCCUCGAGCGAGAACCACUCUCACGUCUGCCCUCGUUCGCCGCCGCUCCAUCCCUUCUCCGCCGCCGCCGCCACCGCCGCCCCCGCCACCUCCCGUCGCGGGCAGGCGGGAGGAGCCCUGUCCGGCCAUGGCAACACCGCCGGCGGCCUCCUCCUCCCCCUCACCUUCUCUCCCUCUCCCAAAGGAGGGAAGGUAAUGGAAGGGAUCUGAUCGGAGCGGUGGAUCUGCGCCCUUGCCGUGUCUUCUUUUCUUCACGGAUUCCAGGAGGAGAUCGAAGUGGGAGGUAGACGAGCAGGAGCGCCGCGUCCGCGACAACGAUGAACGACGACCCAGGUUCUCGUCUCCCAUGGCAGGGGCCGGCGAGUGGCAACAGAUGCGGGACACCAACUGGUGGCGCAACGGACAGCGGGAGAUCGGCUGGUGGCAACGAAUGGCAGGAGGCCGCACGACCGUGCGAGGAGCAGGUAGCUGGAGGAUGUCGCCGGUGGAAAUCUGGCAAGUGGCGGCGACAUAGAGGGCUUAUGGAAUUGAAAUCUGAAGACAUGGUGAUUUUUACCCAAUGGGUUAUGCCCUUGAGCACGAAGAUCUUUUGAACUUUGAGGUUCAGGACAACGCGUGCUUCUCACAUUUAUUGAGACAGAGAGUAUUAAUCAACAGCGGUUCAAGUUUCUACAAUGAGCUAUACAUCAUCUAAACUCACAUGGAUAUACCAGGUCUGCCUUUCCCUACAAUUUAAGCCUUUGUUUUGGCA